rnacentral:lncRNA from 1 species
CUCAGGUAACGCCUGUGAACCUCUGGGUCCUGCGGGAUAACUUCACUGAUGCUAUGAAGCCAGGAUACACCAGGUAGAUGCCACCCCUAGCUAAUAAUUAGGAAACACUCCCACGAGAGCGGAGACCUGGGGACAGCUGGGCAGCUUGGGGUGCUGCAGGCGCUGGGGCAAUCCCACCAGGGCCCACCCAGCUGCUGCCCCAGCAGACCCACACCAGGAAGCAGAGCGUAGAUGCAGGAGAUGUGCCUCAACCUUGUCACUUUUCUGCCUGUCCUCGGGAGGAGAGGGGCA